rnacentral:lncRNA from 1 species
GUAAGGAACCGGACUUCUAAAAUUAUGAAGUUACGGUGUACAUUUGGUUUGAAAGCCAUUUGAAUUGUUCCGGUGAGGUUGCGGUGAAAUGUAAUAUACCGGAUUUUUAAAUAUAAAAAUAAAAAUAAAUAAAAAUAGUAUGAGAUACUAUUUUUAUUGGAUUUGGAGAAGUGAAAUAUGAGUUAGAAACGACCUGUGCUGAAAUCGGAGUGAAAAUAGAAGAUUUAGAAUUUUCUGUGAGAAACGGGGUAGAUAAAUUAGCAGAAAAUGCACAGUGUCAGAAAAUUAUGAAAACUGGAGGGUAAGUCAGAAUUAUUUUUAUGAGGUUAGAUUUAAAGUUUCAUGUCAUUCUAACACCCGGAAGGUAGAAAAUAAAAUAUGAUAGUGAUCUGAUAAAGAUUACAGUUCGGUACGGUUUUCGGUGACCAAACGGGGUCGAAACUGAAAGAUUAAAAUUUUUUUGGACUUAUUAAGUAAAACCGAGCCUGCCUGUCAAAUUUGAGCGCAAACGGACGUUCAGAAGGGCUCCGGCGAAAAAUGUCAGUUUUAAACUACUGAAGUGAAUAGUGUUUUGGGGGAGUUUACUUGGAGGUGAAGUUUCCUCCUAUAUAUAUAUAUAUAAGGGUGUUAUGACAUUUCUCUCAUUCCUCUCUACUUGAGCCAACAUAAGAAAAAUCUCUCUCUCUCUCUCUCUAGGAUUGGCUCCAAAGUGUGCAGUUUGGUAGAGAAAAGCUUGCUUAGAGAUGAAGCUUUCUUUUUCUUCUCCAUUGGCUUGAGAGAGCUUGGGUUUGAGAGGUAAGCUUUGAUAGCAACAAUGGUAGAUUGCUAAGUAGUGAUUUGUAUGCCUUAGAAAUGGGUUUAGUGAAACUCCUAGAUGCUAAAUAGAUGGUUGAUGCUCGAAUUUAGAGAUCAAAUGAUGAAUUCUUGCAUAGUUGCAUCUUAGGGCAUCAAAAGAGGGGUUUUUGCUUGUGAGGGGUUUUGAUCUAAAUUGAUCAUGUAUAAACCUAAUUGCUAGGUAAACGAACGCGUUGGCGAAGUCGGUUCGGCAAUUCGUCGAGCCUACGCGAAGUUAUUAAAGAAACGGACGUUUAGGAUUCGUUUCCGCCUGGAGGGCCGAGGCGACGUCGUAAAAUCAUGGAAUCGGAUUUGAGGCACUGUAAUAGCAAAACGAAGACCCUUUUUGCCCGAGGCUGCGAAGCGAUGCGCGGUUGGUGCGCAAUUGCAAGUUCCGACGGAACCGAGCACCGGAUGCGGCGGGAGGCCGAUUGCAAGUGUCGACAAGCAAUCGGAAUGCACUAACAGGUGGGUUGUGCUCACCGAAGUUAUUAGCUCACUUCCAUGUCGAAGUGAAAGUGUAAUUCUCGUUGAUGCAUAUAAUGUAAAUGCUAAAUGAUGCAUAUGAUGUAAAUACUUGAUGAUGCAUAUAAUGUAAAUGCAUGAUGACAUGAGGCAUAUACUAAAUGAUGUUGACAUAUCACGAGAUGCUAGUUGAUAUAUAUACAUGAUAGGGUAUUGGAUAGUCGCAUUUCUAUUCUUGCAUGAUCCAUAGUAGUGUAGCAACAUGAGUUGGCACUUGAGUUAGGAUGCAUGAGAAUAGAGGAAUGGUGACAUAGAACCCUAUAGAGAUAAGUUAAACAAUAACUUGAUCUUGUAUUGAUGAAUAUGAUGAUAUAUGACUAGUAUAGUCGAGCCAUUGCAUCGUGACGAGUGGCAUGUGAAUCAAGUAAACAACUUGACGAGUGGCAUUAGAACUUAGUGUUAAAAGAACACUUGUGACAUGAUGACUCAGGGGAUAGAUGAGUCUCCCUAUUUGAUACCUUGCAUGAGAUCGGUGUGACAUUGAUGACCCUAGAGACAGGGUAUCCUCAGUGCACGAGGAUUGGAUCAUACUCACAUUGUCUGUUCAGCGCUUGUGGCGGUCGCCCCGCACAAGUAGUGCGAGCUCCGGAGUCUUGUCACAUGAAACGAUUGGGAUAGCCUAUGUGGGGUCCCAAGGGAUAGCCUAUGUGGGGUCCCGCAGACAGUCCCUCGGGAGUUCGAGUCCCCUUCCAUAGACGGAUUUGAGAUGUGAGUUGAGGGCGCGCUUAUGGGCCAGCCAGAGGAUUGGGUAAUAAACUCAUGAGAAUUAUGCAUAUUGAGCAUAGUAAGCAUAUUGAGCAUGUUGAGCAUGUUGGGCAUAGUAGAAUUGCAUGUAAACUUGAUAGAGUUAUUAUAACAUGUUAGAUAUUACAUGGCUAUGUGAUUUACUCUUGUUCUCCAGGCAUAGUAGAAUCUUGCAAUUCUUUCUAUAUGCAUCCCCAGUAGAGUGGAUAUUAGGCUGAGGCGCAAGUGAAACGUCCUUUGUCUUGAGCCUGAUUUUGUGCGGUAAUCUGCGGAUGAUUGACUUAAGACCGAGUCGGGUGGAUAGCUUCGUAAAGGUAGAUAAAAACCUUGUGAGCAACAGUAAAGGUCAAUGAAACCUUAUGAUCAGAAUGGUAAUUGACAAGAAUCUAAAAUAGAGGAAAACUUAGAAGUCAAUUGGACGAGCUAUGGAUAGCAGGAUUGAAAGUAGUAUCAAUUAAACUACUAGUUGGCUAUAUAGUUGCAUUAUUGCAUGAUUUUCAUAUUGCAUAUUGCGAGGCAUGUUAUUUGUUAGUUGCAUAAAUACAUGACGAUAUAUAUAUCUGUGGAUGUUUUUGGACUAACAUAUUGCAGUGUCUCCUUCGGACCUGGUAGGUCGAGCUCUUCCCUUGGGUGGCCGUACCCACUGGGAAUUAUAUUUAUAUAGUUCUCACCCCCGUGUGGUUUUGGCGGUUACAGGUUCGCACGUGAGCGGCGCGGUGGCGCAAGGAGAGGGCGUAGCUCCGUAGAUAGCGCCUUACCACCAAGACCAGAGAUAGUGGUACCCGAGUCAGCCAAGCUAGGGGCUGUAGAAAAGAAAAAGAUUCAAAGUUGUAAUAAUCUGGUGAUAAUUGAUUGUAUUCGAAAGUUGAAUGUAAUUUUUAAGAAAGGAAAUGUAUAACUUUCAAAUGAGAUGAAUGCUUGUAAUAACAUUGGAUGUGUUAUGUUUUUGAUAUUUUCUUUUGCAAUCUAUGAUUGAAUACUGUUCCUGGUUGGAACCACUUGUAUUGUUUUGAUUGCGACGCCUAGGACGUACAGGGGAAACUCUGUCCGUUCGGCGGUCUGUCGGCGUGCCCGAACCUGACCAAAUAGGCGGGGCGCGGGGCGUGACACAUAGAGAGCCUCAAAUGGUGCCAUCUCUAUACUAGCUUGGUAACUAUUGUUGUAUGCGAACUCGGCCAUUAGCAAGUGACCACUCUAACUACCCUUGUAGUCAAUGACAUACGCUCGCAACAUAUCCUCCAAAACCUGAAUGGUUCUCUUUGAUUGCCCGUCGGUUUGAGGAUGAAAAGCGGUGCUAAACUCGAGCCGUGUGCCAAGUGCCUCUUGCAAGCUCUUCCAAAAGUACGAAGUAAACCGAGAGUCUCGAUCCGACACGAUCGACUUCGGAACCCCGUGCAACCUCACCACUUCAUCAAGAUAUACCUGAGCAAGCUUGUCACCUGACCAUAUAGUGUGGAUCGGUAGAAAAUGUGCUUACUUCGUCAAACGGUCCACCACUACCCAAAUCGCAUCGUGGCAACCCGACGAACGGGGCAAUUGGACCACGAAGUCCAUGGCAAUAUCCUCCCGUUUCCAAACGGGGAUAGGUAGGCUUUGAAGCUUUCCCGCUGAAAAUCGGCGCUCCGCCUUGACUUGUUGGCAAACAAGACAUUGCGCCACAGAGCGUCCAAUAUCACCUUUCAUUCCCGGCCACCAGUAAAGCAUCUUUAAAUCUUGGUACAUCUUGGUGCCGCCCGGGUGGACACUAUAGGGAGACCGAUGCGCAUCUUGCAAAACCAUUUUUUGGACUUCAUCAUUUUCCGGCACACACCACCGGUUCCGGUAUCGAAGCGUGCCAUCGGCAUCUAUACUGAAAUCACCGCCACGCCCACCCUCGAUGUCGCGCCGCACCUUUUCAAGAUUCGGGUCCGCAGAUUGCAAACUCUUGAUUCUCUCCAACAAGGUCGGUUGGACAACGAGAGCCGACAGUAUAGUCAGUACCUACGGAGCUACAACCUCAAGAUCUAUUCGCCCCAUUUCUUUCCACAGGGCCUCCUGAUUUGUGACCCAUAGCGCGAGGUUCUCCGUCGACUUUGGAUCUAAAAGGUAAGUAACACCUAGAGGGGGGUGAAUAGGUGUAAAAACGGCAAACUCGAAAAUCUCGAUGUAAAUAAAACAAAGUAGCGAAAAAUAAAAAUAGCACACUGAGAAUUUAACGUGGGAAAACUCCAAACGGAGUGAAAAAACCCACGGGAUCGAUCACGCGAAGAAAAUCCACUAAGAAAACUUGAGUACAAGUGAUUUUGACAAAAAUACACGACUCAAUUUACCGAAUUCCCGUUGAUGGUGAUCUUCGCCGGUCCUCGAUCGAUAGGAAUCCUCCAACCGAUCCUGCUGUAACUCCUUGCAACGUCAACGCCUCAACUCCUCGAAGCGUUCACCGAAUCCUCGGCUUCACGCGAGAUCCACGCGCCAAACCUCCUUCCGGAGCUUGUAGAAUCGAAGAUUUGUGGUGAUUUAAUCUUUGAAUCCCAUAAGCUAUGAGAGUUUGUCUUCUAAUCAAACAUCAACUUGAUUCUCGAAGAAGAUCUCAAGUAAAAUCGAAGAACCAAGUCGAUUGUUGAUUUUUUGAAACUCGUUAUGAGAAUAGAAGCAUUGAAAUGGAAAAAAUAAGUUUCUAGGGUUUAGAAUCAGUAAAUAUUCAAAGCCUUAGAUUUUUAGAUGACCCCCAUAGCUUAUUUAUAUGUUUAGAAGACUUAGAAGUAGACUAGGAUUGCAAAAAGUCCUUUUUAAAAAGCUGUGUCGUCCUCAGAGACCGGUCCUCUUGAGGAGACCGGUCUGUGAGAGACUGGUCUCUCAAGUGAGGAACUGGUCCCUCGCUGCGUGUUCAAAAACACAACGUUCGGGAACCGGUCUCUCAAGCUUGAGACCGGUCCCUCGCUGCGCGACAGAAUUACCAAGGUUCGAGAAUCGGUCUCUCAUCUCAGGGGACCGGUUGCAUCAAAACUCAUGCAGUGAGGACCUUAGGGGAACCGGUCUCUCCAACUCAAGGACCGGUCCCAGAACACAGAAAAGUUCAGUAAAAUAGUUUUAAAGCAAUCUAAGCCUUCUGAACUUAUUCUAGUUAAGUAUCUUCACCACAAAUGAACUUUUCUUCAUACCUUAGGUGCCGAAUUAUACGAAUGAAUCUUUGUUCUUCAAUUUGGAUCUUUUCUUCAAAACUUCCGUGAUCAACUCUUCAAGACUCUAAUCUACUUUACGAAAUUCGCAAACCUAUAAAAUCCUUAACAUCUGCUAAGUGCAUCAGCUACUACAUUUGCUUUUUCGUGGUGAUAGAGUAUAAUAACAUCAUAAUCCUUUAGCAGCUCUAACCACCGCUGUUGCCUCAUAUUAAGCUCCUUCUGUGUAAACAAUUACUUCAGACUUUUGUGGUCCGUGUAUAUCUCGCAAUGCGCAUCGUACAAGUAGUGUCUCCACAGCUUUAAAGUGAAGAUCACUGGGCCAACUCCAAAUCGUGGAUAGGGUAGUUCUUUUCAUAGCUUUUUAACUGACGGGACGCAUAAGCGAUCACCUUCCCGCCAUGCAUUAGAAAACAUCCCAAACCCAAAUAGGAAGCAUCGCUAUACACCACAAAGUCCUCACCUUGCACCGGUAGGGCGAGCACCGGAGUCGAAGUCAGCAUCUCCUUCAACUCCUUGAAACUCCGGUCGAGAAUUCCUUUAUGAACCGUCUAUAAUAGCCCGCUAAACCCACGAAGCUACGGAUUUCCGUCACAUUAGUCGGGCGAGGCCAAUCCUUGAUCGCCUCAACUUAUUUCGGGUCAACAGAAACUCCACCAUCGAAAAUGACAUGUCCCAAAAAUGCGACUUCACGGAGCCAAAAGUCACAUUUCUCCAACUUCGCAUAAAGUUUCUCCUCCUGUAGGACUUGUAGCACUAGCCUCAAAUGCUCUGCGUGCUCCUCGUCACUACAAGAGUAGACCGAGAUGUCGUCUAUGAAGACUACAACAAAUCGAUCUAUGUAAGCCCGGAAAAUACGGUUCAUCAAAUCCAUGAAUGCUGCCGGAGCAUUUGUGCGCCAAAACGGCAUGACCGUGAACUCGUAGUGUCCAUAUCGUGUGCGAAACGCGGUCUUUUGCACAUCCUCCGGCUAUAUCUUAAACUGAUGGUAGCCAGACUGAAGGUCUAUCUUCGAGUAUACUCGCGACCCCUGCAAUUGAUCAAACAAGUCGUCGAUACGGGGCAACGGGUACUUAUUCUUGAUAGUGACCUUGUUCAACUCGUGGUAAUCCACGCAGAGUCGAAACGAUCCAUCUUUCUUCCUCACAAACAGAACCGGGGCUCCCCAUGGCGACACACUCGGCCUAAUAAAUUUCUUGUCGAGGAGAUCUUGCAACUGAGCCCUCAACUACUUCAACUCUGCCGGUGCCAUACGGUACGGAGCCUUCGAAAUCGACGCGGUCCCGGGAAUCAAGUCUAUAACGAACUCGAUCUCCCGAUCCGGCGGUAUCCUCGGUAACACCGCGGAAAACACAUUCGGAAACUCCCGGAUCACUGACAUACUCUCAAGUGCUGGAGUCUCCCGAUCAAUCUCCACAACGGUCGCUAAAUAAGCUGCGUAAUUGCCGCUAACCAUCUUCCUCCCUCUAGACGCUGACACCGUCAUGGCGAAGCACGGGCUUUUGCACGCUCGAUAGGUGAACUCCUUCUGUCCUUGCUCACGAAAAGUUAUCACCCUGCUCUUGCAGUCGAUAGACACAUAGUACUUCGAGAGCCAGUCCAUGCCAAAAAUCAGAUCAAAAUCCUUCAACCUCUUCAGCACCAAUAAGCGCAUCGGCAUAAUCCAGUUGCCCACUUGCACCAGACACGCCAAACACUCCUUCCGAAUAACAAAUGCACGCCCGGGGCCCUCUACUAGCCAAGUGCUCUCACUCAACUGAAUGCCUAUGUCAUGCAUUUGUACAAAUGACCUACUGAUGAAUGAAUGCGUAGCACCUGUAUCAAACAUAACCCUGGAGCGAACUCCGUUAACCAAAACCAUACCUACCAAGACGUUGCGCUCCUCGGCCUCAGCAGGUUCCUCGGCUUGAGCGACGAAUACUCGUCCCCUCGAAGCCGACCGGAUCACCUCAGGCUGACGCAGCGCCAUAGCGCGUCCAGCAGACACGGCAGUAGGUGGAUGUAACACACUGAACUUUAGCAAAUUGUAAGGUUCGAUUGUUUGAUCUAUGUUCUGAGUUUUUUCAGGUAUUCUGAAAGGUCAUAGACAGUGUUCCGACCUAUGACUCGCAUCUCGAGGAGCGAGGAUGGAAACUUAGUGUAAGGAAGUGAAUUCUCGAAAUCCGAAAGUUGUACUUCAUUCAGGAUCGACUAAUUGUCGAGUGAGUAUCCUUUGGGAAAGCUAAAGUUAUCCAAAACACAAAAAGUGCAUUGGAGUUGAGUCCGCGAGAGCAUAUAGUGCAAAACCUGCACUGGGCUGAAGUUGCUCUCGGGGACUGGUCCCUGGCAGGGAGAGACCGGUCCCUGAGGCUGGUGGUUGCUGGGGAUCUUUGAUGCAACCGGUCCCUGGCUGAGAGGACCGGUCCCCGUGUGCGACGCCAGCGAGAGAAGGCCAAAAAUCGGCUAAGUCUUGAAAAUCGAGCUCUCGGGGACCAGUCUCUUAGGCGAGGACCGGUCUCCCGAGGACCGGUCUCCCAGGGAAAGACCGGUUCCCGAACGCGAAGAGGCCUUCUGGCUGCCAGGACUGCUGUCGGGGACCGGUCUCCCCGACGAGGGACCGAUCUCUCUGGGCGCAGAAUGCCCAGUGAGGGCUGUGUACAGGGUGAAAAGUUGAGGGGCUAAAAUGGAUUUUGUUACAAUAGAGGGGUAUGUAGGCCCUCUCUCUCUCCCUCAGCCUCUCAUUCUCUCUCUCUCUCUCACACUCUCUCUUACUCCCUCUCUCUCUAGGAAAGAAAGAACAAAGAGAAGGAGAAGAAGGAAGAGAAGAAGAAGAAGGAGAAGAAGAAGGAGGAGAUCAAGUUAGAGAAGGCUUGGAGCAUCUUCCUCUCUUCCUCUCCUCUCCAUUGGUGUAGCUCAAGAGGUAAGCUACAAACCCUAGCUCGUAGAACUUAGGGUUUUUGGAUUUUGAGCUUUGAGAUGAGGUCAAAUGGACUUCUAGCACCAUUGUUGGUGGAUUAGAGCUAGAGGCUAGGGUUUCAUGAUGCAAAUAGCAUGAUGCUAACCCUAGGGCACCCAAAAUGGGAUUUUUGGAAAUGGAUGAGAUUGAUCUCAUUUGAGGCCUUGUAAACCUAAUUGCUAGGUGUCCAAACGCGUUGGCGGAGUUGGAAUUAUGAUUCGUCGAGCGGGUGUAGAGCUAUCGGCAAAGUAGGGCCGACCUAGCUUCGUUUCUCCCAAAGAGGCGGGGAACACGUGGUUUGAAGUGCCGAGGAACACUUCUGGAACCUCCACAAUGAACAUUGACUACACAAGGUGGGGGGUGUCAUCUCGAAGCAACCGAACUCCUUUCUAUGUCUUAGAUUAACAUACUGCAUUGUAGGAUUGCAUAGUAGUACCAUUCCUUAUGCUUUCUAAUUGAUAACCUAGUAUACUUGGAACGCUUGGUGAUUUAGAUAGGUGAGGAUUGGGUCGGAACAUGGAUCCUAUAGUGCUAAAGAAAUGAGAUGAACACGAUGGGUGUUGAUGACAUAGAAAGUGGUGUUUAAAUGCUAAAGAACAAACGAGUGGCAUCCAAAUGUUAAAGAAUAACGAGUGGCAUUAAUGUAGUGUAAAUGACACUAGAGGUUUGAGAACCUAGGGAUAGAUAGAUCCCUUAGAAAAUGCCUUGGGGACAAAAAACUUAGUAAACCUAAGUACCCUCACAUGGAGAGGUUAUCGAUGAUUGAUUGAGAUAUUGACCCUAGUUAUAGGGCAUCCUCACUUGGAGAGGAUUUGAUUGGGUUGUUAACCCUAGUUGUAGGGUAUCCUCACUCGCAGAGGAUAGAUCUAGCUCACAGUCUACUUUUGGGGUGGUAUAGCCAUCCAUAUCCCCACAUGGAGGGGAUUGUCGUCGAGUACUCCGGAUUGUCGGGUGAUUUGGACCACUUGGAGGUCCGGACCACAUGGAGGUCCGCAGACGGUCCCGGGUCUGGGAGCACAUGGAGCUCCCCACCCAAUGGGAUGGCAAGGUGAGUCGAGGGCGAACCCAAGGGCUUCGCCACAGAUUGGGUAAAUGAACAGUUAACAAUGUCAUUGAAUAUUAUUAUUCGAACAUGGAUCGAACUUGUUAGCAUGGUAGUAAACCUUUACUAUAUGAUGCAUGCAUUCAUUAUACAUGAUUAUGGGUAUAGUAGCAUAGUUUUCCUUUAUGCCUUUUACAACUUUUAGAUAUCUAUCUAUCUGUCUACUUGUUGUUACUUGUGCCCACUUGGACCUAGUGGGGAGACCGGCAGAGUCGGCGGUCGAGCCCACUGGGAACUAUGGAAGAUAGUUCUCAUCCCACUCUAUUUCCAGUGGUAGGUACAGGUUUACCAAGCGAGGACCGCGACAAGGGCAUCGCGCCCAAUGAGUGAGACCGUGGUAGUAUAAUAGCUUUCCUUUUUGCAUUAGCACACCUAUGUAUUGAGAGAGAUUCAUAUAGGUGAGGAUUUGGAGAGCUAUGUAUUUUGAAUGAACAUAUGUAUUCAUUUUGAGGAAAAGAUGUACAUGUAAAAGAUGCAAACUAUUGCAAUAGUUAGUAAAAUAUUAUCUUUAUUUCACUUGUUUUCACUUGUGGAUUACUUGCUCUUAGUUGUUGGCACUACUUGUACCCCGUUGAAUGUGUAUGUUUAGAAUUUAAAUUUUCUGGGUAAAUUCUUGUACACAUUCCUGUUGUUGAGCCUUGUGCGGACAAGGGAGGUGCUCUCCGUUCGGCUUGUGGUUACUUGCUCUUAGUUGUUGGCACUACUUGUACCCCGUUGAAUGUGUAUGUUUAGAAUUUAAAUUUUCUGGGUAAAUUCUUGAACACAUUCCUCUUGUUGAGCCUUGUGCGGACAGGGGAGGUGCUGUCCGUUCGGCGGUCCGCCCGGCGGGCCCGAAUCGUGCCAAAUUGGUAGCGGUUUCGGGGCGGGGCGUGACACUUAGCACCAAACCUCUAAAGUGCAGGAAAUUGGGCUGCUCUCGGGUUUGCCUCUGUAGGGCUGAGUACCGGUAUUGCUUUGAAUUGGUACCGAAACUGGAGCUGGUACCAGUACUGCAUCGGGUUGGUACCGGUACCCUAUGCAUUUUCUCGCCAACCCGAAGCUCGGGUUUGCGCACACUGUGGCUUGGUACCGGUACUCUUUCCCGCGUACCGGCACGCAGUGCAGACUGCAGUUUGGCAGUUUUUGAGGGCUCUUUUUGUUAUUGUUACAAUACCUUAUAUACACCCUCACCCCUUAGACAGGGGCUUUUGUGUUGCGACCAGAGGAGAGCGAGGUGAGCUCCUCUCCAUUCUUUCUUGGUUUUUCUUCCCUUUUUUGCUUUAUUUGAUCUUCUCUCUUUGCUCCUUUUUGCUUCAUGUUGAUUUUCCACCAUUGGAGAAGCUUUGGAUUGGUGUUUGGAGCUUGUUAGAGGAAGGAUCUUCAACCUCAGCACCUUUCAAGCUUGGUUUGGAGCUUGUGAAGAGGUUAGUACCUUAGAUCUUCUCUUUAGAUAAAGUUUCUUGUGGAUUUUGAGAUGAAACCCUAGAAAUGGGAAAACUAGGGUUUAUUUGGGGAUUCUGAAGGGUCAUAGACAGUUUUGUUGAUGAUUUUCGAGUUUGAAUUUCAAUCUUUUGAUGCAUAAACAAAGGGGAGAGAUUUUCAUUUUCAUAUUUUUUUUACUACUAACUUUGUUUGUUAACUUUGUUCAUGGAGAAAGUAAUCUUUUUGCAGAUCAUUGAAAACUUCAAGACUCCUAGUUUUGUCUAAGUCAUAAAGUUUGUGUAGGAGUUGCAAAAUUGUAAUUUUGUAUUUGUUUGGAUCUUUCACGCGAGAAGUUCAUUGAUUUGGUGAUGUCAAUGAAUUUCAUUUUUGAGAGGUGAGCGUUGUGAGUAUUUUGAUGUAAUUUUGAGUUUUGUCACGAAAUUGCCAAAUAGGGAGAUUGUUACGGAUUUUAUGUUAGCAUAUUUCGUGAAGUUAGUCCGGAGUCUAGAAGGUUUAAAGAAGGAAAGAUGAAGAUCGAAGACUCGAUGACUUAAAACAUAAAUCCACAAUGCUCGAUAAGUUAAAAUACUAUUGUUGAUGAUUUAUAAAUAUUAACAAGUGUUUGGAAGACUUAGGAUGGGUUUUAAAAUGAAUUGGACUAAAUUGAACCUGUCAAGGUUCAGGGACCGGUCCUUGAUUAGAGGGACAAGACCCUAAGGUUCUCUCUGCGUAAAGAAACGAUGCAACCGGUCUUUGAGAUGAGAGACCGGUCCCCGUAGCAAGGUUUUUUGGCUACGCAACGAGAGACCGGUCCUUGAGAUGAGAGACCGGUUUCCGUGGCAUGUGUUUUUCUUCUACGCAAUGAGGGACCGAUCCCUGGCUUGAAGGACCGGACCCUGAGAGACCGGACCCCUCGAGAGGACCGGUCCCUGAAACCGUAACUGUUUCCAAAAUUGAGUAUUUACAAUCCUAGUCUACUUCUAAAUCUUCUAAACCUAUAAAUAGGAUGUGGGGGUGUUUCUAAAAGAUGGCUAAGCAUAGAAUAUCUUUUUGAAACCCUAGAAACUUGUUGGGUGCUUUCUUUCUUCUCUCCAACAACAAGUUUCUAUUGGAUCUGUAACAUACCAGAUUUUGGUAUAAAAAUAAAAAUAAAUAAAAAUAGUGUGAGAUACUAUUUUUAUUGAAUUUAGAGAAGUAAAAUAUAAGUCAGAAGCGACUUGUGCUGAAAUCGGAAUGAAAACAGAAGAUCUAGAAUUUUUUGUUGAAAACGGGACAGAUAAAUUAGCAGAAAUGCAUAGUGUCAGAAAAUUAUGAAAACUGGAGGGUAAGUCAGAAUUAUUUUUAUGAGGCUAGAUUUAAAGUUUCAUGUCAUUCUGUCACCCAGAAGGUGAAAAAUAAAAUCCGACAGCUAUCUGAUAAAGAUUACAGUUCGGUACAAUUUUCAGUGACCAAACGGGGUCGAAACUGAAAACUUAAGAUAUAUUCUUACUCAGUACGUUAAACCGAGCAUGCCUGUCAAAUUUGAGCCGAAACGGACAUUCAAAAGGGCUCCGACUUUUGCGAACUGCUAAACUGCCCGGGAUGAAUAGUGUUUGAGGGGUUAUUAUGAAGAAGCUGUUGCUUCUUCUUCUUCUUCGGCCGCACACCACACACGCACACGACCCACAUACACCCGCAUGGAAAGGGAAAGAGAGAACCCUCCCUUUCUCUCUCUAAAUCUCUCCCAAAUUAAAGGAAUUGGUGGAGAUUGAAGCUUGGAGGAAGGUCAUCUUCUUCAUCUUCCUCUUUAGCCAUUGGAGAGCAAACUUUGAUGGUAAGCUUUAAGAGUUUUAAUGGCAUCUCUCUCUAGUUUGGGUUUUAAGCUCCAAGAAUGGAUUUAGAGCUAUUCUAGCAUGCUAAAUAGAUGAUUGUUGCUCAAAUCAUGGAUCAAUUUAGUGAUUUCUUGCCUAGUUGUAAACCUAGGGCUUGAAAUGAGCUUCUUGAACCCUCUCAUGGUAGAUCUUUAGAGCCUUAAUUAUAUGCUCUANAUAGUUUAACCAAGAGUGGCAUUGAGACAAGAAUGGCCUAGAAAGUGGCAUGAACAAAUAGGUAGAAAACCUAUCAUAAAAGUGGCAUUGUGACUAGUGGCUAAGUAUCCUCAUGUUGGGGAUUCGAUCGAUACUCAUGAUAAGUCUUGGCUUGAGGGUGGUAGCUCCCCCUCAAGCGGUGAGUUUCCGAAAAUAGUCACCUCGGGGAGCGAGGUCCCCGUAGACGGUCCCUUGGGUCGGUAGUGCUUGGAGCCUCCCCGGUUAAAGGGAUUUGGGUUAUGAGUUAUUGGGGUUAAUAAGGUUAACCGGUAAGAUUGGGUCAAAGCCAAGUAAGAGUUACUUUUCAAAGAAUAUACGCACUACAAUGUGAUUGACUCGAGAUCGAGUUGGGUGGUUAGCUUGGCUAGGAUAGAGAGGAAAACCUUAGGAGCAAAUAACCAAUGAUGUAAAGUGACAAGAUGUAUAAAUUAUGGAAAAGCUAUAGAUAGCAUGAUAGAAACUAAAAUCAUUUAUUUUACUUGUAUAGUUGCAUGGUUUCAUAUUACAUAUUGCGAGGCAAGACAUGUAGUUCAAUAUCGAAUAAAUGUUUAAGUAUUUGUUAUAUGUUAUUGGACUAACCUGUUGCAGUGCCUCAUUAGACCUAUUGGUUGAGCUUUUCCCUUGGGUGGCCGUACCCACUGGGAACCAUAGAGUUGGUUCUCACCCCACGUUGUUUUGGGGUGUUACAGGUUCACACGUGAGCGCGCAGUGGCGCGAGGCGAGGGCGUAGCUCUGUAGUUAGCGCCCUACCAUCGAGACCAGAGAUAGUGGUACCCUGAGUCGGCCUUACUUAGGGAUGUAAGGAAAUGAAAAGAAUCAAGUUGUAAUAAUAUUGUUAAAGCUAGAUUGUAUUUGGAAGCUAAAAAGAAUGUAAUAUGUAAUUGUGAUGUAAAAUGUAUCUAGUGAAUGUGAAUGCUUGUAAUAACAAGUAGAUUAUGUCUUGAUAUUUUCUUAUGCAAUCUUUGAUUGAAAUGUAUUCCUAGUUGGAACUUCAUAUAUUGUAUUGAUUGCGACGCCUUGAAUGUACAGGGGAGACUCUGUCAGCGGUACAGGAAAAACUCUGUCCAUUCGGCGGUCUGUCGGCGGCGCCGCAACCCGGCCAAAUAGGUGGGUGGUCGCGGGUUGUGACAGGAUCAAUUCUUGAAACCCUAAUUUCUUGUUCUUCAUGGAGAAUUGAUCCGACUAUUGCUUAGAAACACCUUCUACGAUUUUUUAAUAAUUAUCUAAGCAAUAAAACAUCAUCGAUCGUAUUGUUCUUGCUCUGGACGGAGUGUGCUCGUGGAUUCGAGUGGGCGUCGUGGAUUCGGCGUGAUCAAGGCUUCGUGGAUUCGAAGUGUGGAGUUUCAUGGAUUCGGGACGUGGCGUUCAUGGAUUCGGACGUGGGGCGUGGACAACCCGUUGGUGUGCGCGAGAUCCGGAGAAGAUAAAAGAGAGGUUUGAAUCCGUGGAUUCGGUAAAUCAUCUUGUAAUCUUUUAUUCUUAGUGGAUUGUUAUCGCGUGUUGGUCCCGUGGGUUGUUUACUCAAAGUUGGAGUUUUUCCAUGUAAAUCUCGGUGUGAUUUUCACUUUUUGCAUUUAUUUUUAUCGCAUUGAGAUUUGUGGUUUUUGGCCAUUACACCUAUUCACCCCCCUCUAGGUGUUAGAUACAAUCUAGAUAGAUCCUUGGGCUCCCUCAAAACUUACAAUUGGUAGCAGAGCGGGAUCUAGAUAAAUUGUUAUCUAAUGGCCGAAGGCGGAAACAUUAAUCGACCACCGCUCUUCGAUGGCACGAAUUAUGCCUAUUGGAAAGCUCGCAUGAGAGCUUUUCUAAUCGCAAUCGAUGAGCAUGUUUGGCAAUCAAUAAAAUUUGGAUGGAAACAUCCUAUUGAAAAGGUCGAGAAUGUUGAAACGCCGAAACCACAGAAUAAGUGGACGAAGGAUGAAAACGAGUUAUCUUCGUUUAAUGGUAAGGGCGUAAACACUUUAUUUAAUGCAUUGUCUCAAAUGGAGUUUACUCGUGUUUCGGCGUGUAAUACCGCCAAAGAAAUUUGGGAUACUCUACAAAUUACACAUGAGGGUACAAGUCUAGUAAAAAUUCAAAAGCUCAAGAUGUUGACUAGUCAAUUUGAUUCGAUUCGUAUGAUGGAGCAUGAAUCUUUUACCGAUUAUUAUACUAGACUUCAAGACAUAAUCAAUACAUGUGCUAAUUUGGGAGAGAAGAUCCCGGAUUCUAAAAUUAUUAGAAAAAUUCUUCAGAUUCUUCCGGAAUGCUUUCGGGCAAAAGUUGCCGCAAUUGAAACCGUAAAGCAUCCGGACGAGAUGAAAAUAAAAGAGUUAGUAGGUGCUUUGCAAACUUAUAAGAUGACUUUUCCUACUAACCAAUCUUCUUCCAAGUCUACAAAGGAAGAAGACGACUCGAAUUCCGACGGAGAUAUUUUGCUCGCUGAUUUUGAACAUCAACUGACGCUCUUAACGAAGAAAUUUCGACGGAACUUUCGGAAAAACAAAGCUUCAUCCUCGAAACAAACAUCAUUUUCUAAACAAUCUUCGAGUUCUAAAAUGAAAGACAAAAAACUUGCAAAACCUUCUAAAGAAAAAGAUGAGUUUGAAGGGGAAAUUCAAUGUUAAAAAUGCAAAGGCUACGGCCAUAUUUCUACGGAUUGUCCUACUAAGAUAUCAUAUAAGAAGAAGGCUUUGCAAGUGAGAACUUGGGACGAUUCUACCUCUAAUGAAUCGAGUUCAAGUGAAGAGGAGAAAAUUAAUGUUGCUUUAUGCUCUCAAUCUUCUAUACCUCCCUCUUCAACUUUUUGUUUAUCAUCUAUUAUUUUUGACUCUUUUGUUUCCCCUUCCUUGCAUGGAAUGUCGAGCGAUGAUGGCGAGAGAGAGGGGGAGUCGGAUGAUGAAAGCUUGGCCGAGGCAUACCAACAACUUCUCGAAGAAUCAAAGAAGAUGGCCAAGCACAACAAAAGGCUAAGAAAACGACAACUUGAGCUUGAAGAUGAGAACACUGACUUGAAGAAUGCAUCUAAAACUCUUGAGGAGGAAAGGGAGCAAGUAUUGAAUAAUAAUACAAUUCUCCAAGAGAAGCUCAACCAAUCGGAGAUAACGAUCAAAUCACAUCAAGAAAAGGUUGGUUUUCUAGAACAACAAUAUGAAGAAAUUCGUUCAUCCAAUCAAGUUUUGACCAAACAAGUUUAUCAACUUAAAUCCGACAUUCAAAAGUUUUUCUCCGGUUCGAAAAAGCUAGACCAUAUGCUCGAAUUGGGUCAAACGGAUAAACUGGGACUUGGUUAUAAAAGGACUUAUGUUGAGAAGGAUCAAAAGGCAAUUCGUAAAGUCUCAACAAAUUUGAAAGAGAAAAUUUGCCAUAGAUGUGGUAGUAAAGGACACAUCAAGAAGACAUGCCCUAGAAAAGAAAAGAAACAUCAACCGGCAUGGUCUAUGCAUCUAUCGGCAUCUUCCAAUACUCGACUUCCCCCACAGAUUCCAAAGCAACAUCAAUCAAGUCGCGCACCUCCGAUCAACCAAAAGUCAAAACAAUCGGUACACAACUACAACAAAUCAAGACAACCGAUAAUCCGACAAGUUUGGAUUCGAAAAUGUGAUAUCUUUCCUUGUCUUAAGUCUUUAAUUUGUGUUUGACUUUAUGUUUUGCUAUGAUCGGUUUUAGUGCAUAUCUAUUGAUCAUUGCAUUACAUGUGCUUCGGAUUUUUUCUGGAUCAUUUCGUGAUUAAACAUUAAACAGUGUGUUGAACGUCGAUAAUUUACAUUCAUUCAUUUUGAAUUAAUUUCAUAUUAAUUAUCGGUUUCACUUUAUUAUCACUAUUUAUGAAGAUAAUUUAUAAUAGAAUAUCUUAAUUCUUAUAUUCAUCAAAUUUAAGUAAUCAUGUAUGAUCUUUCGGCACUUAACCUAUCUCGGUUGUGUGUGUUGAAUUUGAUGAAUGAAAAUUUGCUAAUCAACUAAAACUUGUCAAAUUUUCUUUCAUAUAAGAGAUUGCAUAAUUAAGGGGGUGUCAUUUAAUUUUUUUAAAAAAAAGGAGGAAAAGAAGGAAACACUCUAAGUGAUUAAAGUUCAAGUACUUAAAAGAUGUGGAAAGAGUUACAUCUUGAAGGGAGUGUGAAAACUACCACCACAUGUAGGAAAGAGCUACCACCCCGGUCGUCCGGUAAGUGUGUGAAGCUACCACAUGGGAAUUGAUUGAAUAACCGAAAAGGUUGAAAUAUUCAUAUUAUAUAAAAAAAAUUUUCGGUGUAAUAAGGUGGUUUAGUAAAAAGAUGCUUAAAGAGCCACUUCUGGUACAUUAUUGCUUGAUAUAGAAUUUGAACACUUAUGCGACAAAUUUUUAUCAUUUAUUGAAUUUUCAUAAGUCAUCUUUAGAAUCCGUUACAUCUUGAUAGAUUUUGAGCCUUUAGAUUAUUUUUGAUGACUUGAUUUUGAAGUAUAUAUGAGUAAAGAAAUUUUAUUAUAUUUUAUCUACAUCUUGGUGCUCUUGUAGUGAAAUUCUUAUUUUCUAUGAAAUUGAUGUGGAUUGAAAAAAAUCUAUGUGAAUUUAUUAUGUUCAUGCACUGACAAUUGAUUAACUCUCUCAUUUUUGGUACUUUCUUUUUGCAAUUUUUGACAAAAAGGGGGAGAGCGUGGAUGAUUUUGUGGAUGAUUUUCGAGUUUGAAUUUCAAUCUUUUGAUGCAUGAACAAAGGGGGAGAUAUUUUCAUUUUCAUAUUUUUUUUACUACUAACUUUGUUUGUUAACUUUGUUCGUGGAGAAAGUAAUCUUUUUGCAGAUCAUUGAAAACUUCAAGACUCCUAGUUGUGUCUAAGUCAUAGAGUUUGUGUAAGAGUUGCAAAAUUACAAUUUUGUAUUUGUUUGGAUCUUUCACGCGAGAAGUUCAUUGAUUUGGUGAUGUCAAUGAAUUUCAUUUUUGAGAGGUGAGCGUUGUGAGUAUUUUGAUGUAAUUUUGAGUUUUGUCACGAAAUUGCCAAAGGGGGAGAUUGUUACGGAUUUUAUGUUGGCAUAUUUCGUGAAGUUAGUCCGGAGUCUUGAAGGUUUAAAGAAGGAGAGAUGAAGAUCGAAGACUCGAUGACUCAAAACAUAAAUCCACAAUGCUCGUAAGUUAAAAUACUAUUGAUGAUGAUUUAUAAACAUUAACAAGUGUUUGGAAGACUUAGGAUGGGUUUUAAAAUGAAUUGGACUAAACUGAACUUGUCAAGGUUCAGGGACUGGUCCUUGAUCAGAGGGACCGAACCCUGAAGGUUCUCUCUGCGUAAAGAAACUGUCACGCCCCGGGGUCCAUUUUUGUUUGAAAACACAACGGAAAUAGCUAGAUUUUUUUUUUUUUGAAAGACCUGACCCCAGGGUAUGCCAGAUCCGCCAUAUAUACAGAGAGUUCACUAAUCACACGGACAGAGUCUCCCCUGUAUUUGCACGGCGUCGCACAAGUACAAUAAGUAAACUGAAUACAACCACAACUAAAUGAAUAUAGAAACAAUUAUACAAUCAUUCAUUCACCAUUCACAUCACAAUUAUACAUUCAAUGUUUAACAUAAAUCUACACCUAUCAGUUAAAAACGUUUUCAACCCAGAAACAGGUUUUGAAAUGCUAAGAUACAAAAUCCACAGAAAACCUUUUAAAAACUGUUCCCUACACGGGAACUUUUAUCUUUUAGAAACGCUACCACGAGGGGUAGAAAAUCAUUCAACAUUUGAAAUCCACAAAUCCUUUUUAUUACAUCAUAAAUCCAACUGAAAAUUCAGAUAUUCAACUACUAUAACAAAAACUGAACUAUAAUAUGUCUAAGUUAUUUAUUCAAGCAUGAAGGGUAAAGAAAUAACCGACACGGGACGGAGCUCUAUCGUACGCUAGAAAUGCUCCUCACCAGCUGUCCCACUUGGACCUGCGACGUCACCUGUAAUGGGGGCGGGGGGGUGAGAACAUGUAAACAUAUCUCCCUCUCCUUCCAGUGGGUACCGCAAGCCGACGAGGGCGAGGGGUACUCACUAGUCAGGAGAUAAACAAGGAUAUGAAUAAUGGUAAUACAGUAGCUAAGAUAAACAAGUAAUGAAAUGUGUAUAGAUAAACCACUACAGGUACUGUAUGCGUGCAUCAAAUCAGUCCAAAAGUACCCAAUAUGAAACCAAUGCUCUCUUGGUCCGCACCGCAAACCUCAAGCCAGUGCCACUACUACUCUACCAUGCAUAUAACCCCUCUAGGGCUCACGGAUUGACAACUGCAACCAUUUUUCCGGAAAAGAACACCCCUUGCGGUGGAUCAGACCGCCAGUGUUCGUGAAAUGCGACGAGUAUCGGGCGAUCAAUGCAAUAUGCUCAAUGAUCAACCGUCGGCAACUAGCCGACAAUCCUGCCCCCCAGGGCACACCAGCCAUAUGGGUCAUCAUGUAAUCAAAUCAACCAACCAGGUCACAAGUAUAGGAGAUGCAAUGUCCACAAGUAUAGGAGAUGCAACGUCGACCAACCAGGUCAUGGAGAUCACAUAGGAGAAUAGACCAACCAAAUCAUAGAUGCAAAUAGGAGAACCGACCAACCAGGUCACAGAUGCAAAUAGGAGAACCGACCGACCAGGUCACAAAUAUCAUAUACAGAUAAAGUUUACUAUACUCCUACACAUGAUACUACAUCUGGCAACAACUAAGUAGAGUAAAUAAGGAAAUAGCAUGGGUGUAAGGCUCAACAUGUAUAAGGUAAAUGAUAUACACAACAAGGGUAAAGGAAACGUCACCGAGCGUGCACCACUGUACCGACGUCGGAACGAAGUACCCACCUGUAUGUGUCUGACGAAAAUCUCUCGACUGUGAAGACGGUGCAACCGAACCUACGAAAGGUCCACCGGGUUAGAACCUAACCCACUAACACAUAUCGCUAACUCACAAUCCCACAAUCAUAGCCCUUCGGGAAUCGGUUUUCCAAAACCGAUUGCCGAACUCACCAGAAGUCACAAAAAAACUGCACCGGGACUCCGCCGGGACCCACGAACCGUCCCAAAACUACCCAACUCAUCAUAUGAGUUGCUCGCUGCCGCUAAACACCUAUUUUAGUGUGACAAGGCAGCAAAGACGCUAACUCGAUGCGGAACGAUUAUCGUCGGAUAAUCGUUUCGAUUCGGGUUCCCGGAAAUGUCUAUUUCGACACCGGAACCCGCCGUCGCUCACUCGUCGUUUCUGAACCCUCGAAACGACACGGGUGACAAGCCAACAAGGCUCAGCGACACUACAAUCAACCACGAGGCACUGUCGGAUGAAUUUCGAAUCGAAAACGCGUUCUAUCAGCGGAUUUCGCCGAAAAACGCUCCAGAAAUCACUUUUCGAUUUUCGCAAAAGCUUGGGGCCUUGGACGAUCAGUCCAGAGGUUAUCCUCAGCCUACCCUUGCUGCCAACAUCAUCUACAUCGAAGCAAAAACCCUAAAAGCCCUUACCGAUACGUGAAAUCACAUCAUUUUAUGUGAUUUCUAGGCUUUUCUGGACCGUGCACGCAAACCAGAGAUCGAUUCAGCAAACCGUCGCGCUCGCUGAUAGGUUUCAGCGUGCCAGAGGCCGUGCUCACCUUUCGGAGAACUGCCGGCCACUAUGGCACGCGCACGAGCGACACGAAACUCAGUGAAACAGCGCGCACAGCGCUAAGAUUGCCAUUAAUGCACAAUCCAGGGCAUCUCUGUCCCUGUUGGAGGUGAGCAAGAUGUUCAGCACGUGUUGUAGAUCAUCGUGCUCACUUCCCUAGGUCUAGAAGGCUUAACGGAUCACCGAAAAGGUGACCGAAAUCUCAGACUUUAGUGCUGGAACAUAAAACAGCCUUACCAGAACCGGGGAGAGCUAGGGUUGGUCGCCGACGGUCGGACGGCGGGCGGUCCAGCUAGGGGAGGGCGCGGCCGGUAGGUGAGUUCCGGGGCACUCGUUGGCCGGUGGCUGGAGGCGGCCGGUGGCGCGGCGGCGGAGAUCAACUCCCUAAGGCUGCUCACGGGUUCAAGGGCGCCGACAGCAAGGCGGCGGCCGAAGGAGCUUGGGGCGGCGACGAUUCGACGCCGGAGGCCGAGGGAGAGGCGGUGCACCCUUCGUUGGACGGCGGCGGCGCUUGGAAGUCGAGCGGACUCGACCUCGGUCCGCACCAACCCAGGACGGCCGCAAGCUGCACAAGCGGCGGCCGGCGGUCCACGGGGAUGGCCGGGAUGGCGAGCAGGAGGUCGCCGGAGGUGCGGGGAUAGCGCUGGGGAUGGGCCUGUGCCAGGGGAUGUUGAAGCUCGGGCUUUGAUGCCUUCCCGAGCACAACAGCUGAGCUGGUGGCGAGGUGGGUCUAACGAGGAGUUGAGGGGAGGCCGGGGUGGCUUUUCCGGCGGCCGGAGCUGCUCGUCGGCGGUCCCGAUGUGCGAAUUGGCAGGGCAUGGUGUAGGUAGGGCAGCUAGGGUUAGCUAGGUGAACGUGGGCAGCCAAAGAACCAUGAAAAACCCUAGAUGUUACUUUUAUACAAGGUGUCAUUUUGCGAGGAACCCCUUCAAAGUCAAAUAAUUAUAAUCCUGCCCCUGCCCGCAUGUGUAACUUGCAUGCCAGCCCAUCAACAUUCGAAAUCUCGUGAAACAGCGCAUAAAAUAUAGGGUCUUUUCGCGAUUAAUCGAUUUUGCCAAAUUGACCUCUCAGCGGACUUUUCACAAUUUCCGAAGAUCCGCCCGUCGGAUUUCCGAACGGAUUGCGCCAGCGCGUUCAGAAUGACUGGGGCAUCGAAUCUAGCAUCUUACUUUGUCCGAUUUGGUUUUCGAUUUGCGUCAAAACCAUCCCUCUUUUGUUUUCACUAUGUAGCCACUUAUAUUACUACACGUGAAACCAAUCAAACCCCUUUUUUCUCGACAACCGUGCAUCAGAAUCCAAUUUCGUCAGUGCCAUUGGGUCCAGAAUGGUCGAACCGUUCGAAACGAGCUAUUGGAGCACUAUGAUCGGAGUCCAAUGUGCACCAGAACCGUCUUCUACUCACUGGCUUCGCCGGGAAGCCAGAGUUACUAUUCACUCUAAGUUAUCGGUUCAGGUUGCAUAACUUCUCCAUCUUAACUCGUUUUCACCUGAAAUUUGACAAGUGCUUAUGUAAUUAUAUUACACAUAAAAAUAUUGUCAACAAAGGGUUUAAUUUUUAUUACUAAAAAUCUCGGUUAUUACAUCAUUCCCCCCUUACAAGAAGUUUCGUCCCCGAAACUUAAAUCAAGGAUCCCCCGUGAAUAGCUGCGGAUAACUCUCCCGCAUAGAAGACUCAAGCUCCCAUGUAGCCUCGCGCUCCUCGUGAUUUGCCCACUGAACUUUUACAUACGGAAUGCUCCUGUUCCGUAAUUGCUUCACUUCACGUGCCAAAAUCCCCAAUGGAGCCUCAUCAUAGCUCAGAUCCUCCCGUAGCUGAAUAGAUGUCGGACUAAUGAUGUGAGACGGAUCUGGAAUGUAUUUCCGCAACAUGGACACAUGAAAGACAUUGUUCACCCGGGUGAGACUUGGAGGAAGAGCCAAUCUGUACGCUACCGGACCGAUGCGCUCCAGGAUCUCAAACGGUCCCACGAACCGCGGACUUAGCUUGUUCCGCAAACCGAACCGCUUGAUCCUCUUGGAUGGCGACACCUUGAGCAACACAUGCUCACCGACCUGAAACUCCAGGUCACGCCUCUGCUGAUCCGCGUAUCUCCUCUGUCGACUCUGUGCAGUCAGAAGCCGCUCUCUCGCAAUGCGGAUCUUCGCCAACGCAUCCUCCACUAAGUCUGGCCCGAUCAACCGACGUUCUCCGACGUCGUCCCAACAGAUAGGAGACCGACAUCGACGCCCAUAUAAAGCCUCGUACGGUGCCAUCCCGAUGCUCGCCUGGUAGCUGUUAUUAUAGGAGAACUCCACCAACGGUAGAUAUCGGAACCAUCCAUCACCGUAAUCCAGGAUACAUGCGCGGAGCAUGUCCUCAAGAGUCUGGAUGACUCGCUCUGACUGUCCGUCGCUCUGGGGAUGGAAUGCCGUACUGAAGUUCAACUUCAUACCCAUAACCUAUUGCAAGCUCCUCCAGAAGUGGGAAACAAAGCGAGUGUCCCGAUCAGACACAAUCGACACUGGCACACCAUGAAGCCGAACAAACUCGUCAAUGUAUAACUGUGCUAGUCGAUCACGGGACCACGUUGUAUGCAUCGGCAAGAAGUGAGCCAAUUUCGUCAGCCGAUCAACUAUAACCCAGAUCACAUCAUGGCCUCGCUGUGAUCGAGGCAAUCCGGUGACGAAAUCCAUAGUGAUCUGCUCCCACUUCCAUACGGGGAUCGGAAGUGGUUGCAGCUUUCCUGCUGGUCGCUAAUGCUUAGCUUUCACCUGCUGACAAAUCAAGCACCGAGCCACGUGCUGAGCCACAUCAAGCUUCAUCCCAGGCCACUAGAAAUUCUGCUUCAGGUCGCGGUACAUCUUGGUUCCUCCUGGGUGAACUGUGUAAGGGGAUCGGUGCGCCUCGGAUAGGAUGUCGUUCCUCAGCUCCGAGUCAUUGGGCACACACCAUCUGCCUUUAAAGCGCAGAGAUCCAUCAGUGUGGAUAUUGAAGUCCCCGUCCUUACCCUGCUCGACCUCCGCCCGCACUUUCUGUAAGUACGGGUCACUCUACUACCCAAGCAAAAUCCGCUCCGUCAAAGUAGGCUGUAUCACCAGAGUCAUCAAUUGGGCCGUGGCCCCGGUGGAAACAACCUUGAUCUCCAGACGGCGGAACUCCACGAGUCGAUCCUGGCUCGUGAUCAUAAUGGACAACGAAGCUGAAGGCUGUUUCCGGCUCAAGGCGUCCACCACCGCGUUCGCCUUUCCCGAAUGGUACUGGAUCGUGAGAUCGUAGUCCUUUAAGAGCUCGAGCCAACGUCUCUGCCUGAGGUUCAACUCCUUCUGUGUGAAAAGGUACUUCAGGCUCUGAUGAUCGGUGAAUACCUCGCAGUGUGCUCCAUAUAGAUAGUGCCUCCACAGCUUUAGGGCAAACAUUACCGCCGCGAGCUCUAGAUCGUGAGUCGGAUAGUUCUUUUCAUACGACUUUAGCUGUUGAGAUGCGUAAGCGAUGACCCGAUCCUGCUGCAUAAGCACGCACCCCAGACCGACCCAGGAGGCGUCACAAUAGACCACAAAAUCCUCACCAGGUCGCGGCAGAGUAAGAACGGGUGCGCGGGUCAAUCGAUCCUUCAGCUCAUCAAAGCUCUGCUGGCACUGCUCGGUCCACUGAAACCGUUCUCCUUUUCUGGUAAGCUUGUUUAGCGGUGCGGCGAUCUUGGAGAAGCCCUCAACGAAUCGCCGAUAAUAACCCGCCAAACCCAGAAAGCUCCGGACUUCAGUCACCGAAGUCGGUUCAGGCCACUCGACCACUGAGGCUAUCUUCUUUGGAUCCACCGUAAUGCCCGAUGGAGUCACAAUAUGCCCUAAGAAAGAUACCUCGCGGAGCCAGAACUCGUACUUCUUGAGCUUACCAUAUAGCUUGUGCUCUCGAAGUAUCUGCAGUACUCGUCGGAGAUGAUCCUUGUGCUCCUCAUCACUCCGCGAGUAAAUCAGGAUGUCGUCAAUGAAGACCACGACAAACUGAUCCAAGUAUGCCCGAAAGACCCUAUUCAUCAUAUCCAUGAAAGCUACCGGGGCAUUGGUGAGCCCAAACGGCAUCACCGUGAACUCGUAGUGGCCGUAUCGAGUUCUAAAGGCGGUCUUCGACACAUCCUCAUCCCGGAUCUUAAGCUGAUGGUACCCGGACUGUAGGUCGAUCUUCGAAUACACCGAUGAUCCAUGAAGCUGAUCGAAGAGAUCCUCAAUCCGGGGUAGUGGAUACUUGUUCUUCACAGUGACCUUAUUAAGCUCCCGGUAGUCGAUGCACAGUCGAAGACUACCAUCCUUCUUUUUGACAAAGAGGACUGGGGCACCCCCAAGGAGACACGCUAGGGCGGAUAAACCCUCUCUCCAGAAGAUCCUCAAGUUGAGCCUUCAACUCUUUCAGCUCAGCGAAGGCCAUGCGAUAGGGGGCCUUCGAGAUCGGUGCCGUGCCUGGAACUAGCUCGAUGAAGAAGUCGAUCUCCCGGUCCGGAGGCAUUCCCGGAAGCUCAUCUGGAAAGACAUCCGGGAAUUCCUGAACAACUAGAAUAUCCUCCAAUGGUGGUGCAGCUCGGUGGGUGACAUCUACUGAAGCCAGGUAGGCUACACAUCCCGCAUUCAUAAGCCUCUUUGCUCUAGCUGAAGAGAUAGACGCGGCAAAAUAGGAGCUCUUACAUGCUCGGUAUACGAAUACUUCUUCGCCGGGCCCGAUAAAUGUCACCGUCCUCCGCUCGCAGUCGAUGGUAGCGUGGUGCCUGGUAAACCAGUCCAUCCCAAUCACCACGUCGAACUUCUUCAUGGGAAGUACCACCAGGUUCGCCAGGAAGCUCCGAUUAUCCAAAAUGACAGGGUACGAUAGGAUGCACCGAUCAGCUAAUAGGUCACCUCCAGGCGUGUCAAUACGGAGCGGCACGUCUAGUGGACGCGAGGAAAUACCAUGCUCACAUGCAAAUGAAUGCGAAAUGAAUAAGUGCGAUGCUCCAUUAUCGAAUAUAGCUCUAGCACGAGUAAUGCAGAGGGUAACAAUACCUGCAAGGACGUCACCAUCAUUGUUGCCUUCGUGCGCGCCCCCUCGUUUUGGCGUGAGGAGGAGGGACGCCUAAACGAAGCAGCUGCGCUUGGAGCUCAACGGUUCUGUCGGGAUGCAGCUGGGGAGGAGGCAGCACUCUGAUUAGCCACAUUUCUCUUAGGGCAAUGUGCUUGCAGGUGGCCCGGCUGACCACAAUGGAAACAGUUGUCCCUCCUCUGCGGACAGUCGGUCACCCGGUGUGCUUGCCCACAAAUCACACGGGGUUGACCGCCCCGUCGCUGACUGCCGGAGGGUGCACUCUUCGCCGACUGCUGAGUGCGAGGAUGCUUCGGUGGCUUUUUGCUGAAAGAAGAGCCACUGCUAGACUUAGAAUGGGAACGCUUCCUGUCCCCUGAUCGCUAGGAUGCAUCGCGAUCAGCUCGCAUCUCCUCUGACUCGCUCUGCACUAUAAGAGCCCGGUCGAAAGACUCGUCGAAGGGUAUCAUGCCAUUGGACGCGACCAAGAGCCGAAUGUUGGGCCUCAGCCCCCUGAUAAAAAGCUUGGCCUUGUGGUACUCGUCCCGCACCGCGAAGGGAAUCAGCCCGACGAUGCAGCUGAAAUCUCGCUCGUACUCCGCCACAGUACGGUUACCCUGCUUAAGGCGCUCCAGCUCGCGCUCCAAGUUCUGCUUCGUACUGUCCUUGAAGUACUGCUCAUUUAGGAGUCUCCGAAACUCAUCCUAGGGUGGAUAGAUGCUUGAGAGCUUGUUCACGAAGUGGCGGAUCCACCAUGCAUACGCAUCCCUCUCAAGGCAAUGAGCGGCCAGAGGAACGCGAUCCUGCUCCUCAAUAUGGAGAUCGCGAAAUAGUUUCUCCAUGUGGGUGGCCCAGUGCUCGAUCACCCAUGCAUCGUCAUUCUUCCUAGCGAACUUAGGCGGAUCGAACUUUCUAAACUGGACCAACUUCGCACGCAUGUGAUCGCCCUCCACUGCAGAGGUAUUAGCACCCCCAGCGAAAACCGUCGUGGUAGUCGUCGUCGUCGUCGUGCCAGUCGGAGCUGUAGCCGGUGGAGGUAUCAUCGAGUGUCCGCAGUAACUGGAGCCGGCUGUGUCGGAGGUGGAGCCGGGGGAGCAGCAGCUGCAGUCUGCUGCUGUAUAAACUACUGGAACAUCCCCGAGAGGGCCGUCAGCUGACCCCUCAUCGCUGCUACCUCGGCCUCAAGCUGCUAGGUACGCGCAUCACCCAACUGCUCGGGGCCGACCUGCUUCCCUCCACCCCUGCCCCUCGGGACACGCCCUCCAGGACUGUUCGAUGCCCCCUCAGUGGCGCAUCCACCGCCACGACCCCGACGAGGAGGUCUACCAGGACCACGAGCCAUCUGCAACAGAAAACACCGUCAGCCGAAUAAUCGACUUCGACUACUACCAACCAGGACUCGAGCCCAAACCCCGCACUCACAUGCUUAUACAUCGUAGGUCUUCCUAAAGGUCAACCUAACCAAUGGUUCAGUUUAUUUUUAUUUUCAAAAUAACCUGUGAAUGGUGUUGUGGUUGUAACUUGGCUCUGAUACCACUUUAAUCUGUAACGCCCCGGGGUCCAUUUUUGUUUGAAAACACAGCGGAAAUAGCUAAAUUUUUUUUUUUUUUUAAAGACCUGACUCUAGGGUAUGCCAGAUCCGCCACAAAUACAGAGAGUUCACAGAUCACACGGACAGAGUCUCCCCUAUAUUUGCACGGUGUCGCACAAGUACAACAAGUAAACUGGAUACAACCACAACUAAAUGAACAUAGAAACAACUAUACAAUCAUUCAUUCACUAUUCACAUCACAAUUAUACAUUCAAUAUUUAACAUAAAUCUACAUCUAUCAGUUAAAAACGUUUUCAACCCAGAAACAGGUUUUGAAAUACUAAGAUACAAAAUCCACAGAAAACCUUCUAAAAACUCUUCCCUACACUGAAACUUUUAUCUUUUAGAAACGCUACCACGAGGGGUAGAAAACCAUUUCCAUUUCAAGAAAACACAAAUUCCUUUAUUGCAUUCCAAAACCAACUGAAAACUCAGAUAUUCAACUACUAUAACAAAAACUGAACCAUAAUAUGUCUAAGUUGUUUAUUCAAGCAUAAAGGGUAAAGAAAUAACUGACACGGGAUGGAGCUCUAUCGUACGCUAGACACGCUCCUCACCAGCUGUCCCACUCGGACUUGCGACGUCACCUGUAAUGGGGGCAGGGGGGUUGAGAACAUGUAAACAUGCCUCCCCUCCCUGUGGGUACCGCAAGCCGACGAGGGCGAGGGGUACUCACUAGUCACGGAGAUAAACAAGGAUAUGGAUAAUGGAAGUACAAUAGAUAAGAUAAACAAGUAAUGAAAUGUGUAUAGAUAAACCACUACAGCUACUGUAUGCAUGCAUCAACGGGACAAUCAGUCCAAAAGUACCCAAUUUGAAACCAAUGUUCUCUUGGUCCGCACCGCAAACCUCAAGCCAGUGCCACUACUACUCUACCAUGCAUAUAACCCCUCUAGGGCUCACGGGGUGACACCUGCAACCACUUUUUCGGAAAAGAACACCCCUUGCGGUGGAUCAGACCGCCAGUGUUCGUGAAAUGCGACGAGUAUAGGGCGAUCAAUGCAAUAUGCUCAAUGAUCAACCGUCGGCAACCAGUCGACAAUCCUGCCCCCCAGGGCAUACCAACCACAUGGGUCAUCAUGUAAUCAAAUCAACCAACCAGGUCACAAGUAUAGGAGAUGCAAUGUCCACAAGUAUAGGAGAUGCAACGUCGACCAACCAGGUCAUGGAGAUCACAUAGGAGAACAGACCAACCAAAUCAUAGAUGCAAAUAGGAGAACCGACCAACCAGGUCACAGAUGCAAAUAGGAGAACCGACCGACCAGGUCACAGAUAUCAUAUACAGAUAAAGUCUACUAUACUCCUACACAUGAUACUACACCUGGCAACAACUAAGUAGAGUAAAUAAAGAAAUAGCAUGGGUGCAAGGCUCAACAUGUAUACGGUAAAUGAUAUAAACAACAAGGGUAAAGGAAACGUCACCGAGCGUGCACCACUGUACCGUCGUCGGAUGGAAGUACCCACCUGUACGUGUCUGACGAAAAUCUCUCCACUGUGAAGACGGUGCAACCGAACCUACGAAAGGUCCACCGGGUUAGAACCUAACCCACUAACACAUAUCGCUAACUCACAAUCCCACAAUCAUAGCCCUUUGGGAAUCGGUUUUCCAAAAUCGAUUGCCGAACUCACCAGAAGUCACAAAAAAACUGCACCGGGACUCCGCCGGGACCCACGAACCGUCCCGGAACUAUCCAACUCAUCAUAUGAGUUGCUCGCUGCUACUAAACACCUAUUUUAGUGUGACAAGGCAGCAAAGACGCUAACUCGAUGCGGAACGAUUAUCGUCGGAUAAUCGUUCCGAUUCGGGUUCCCGGAAGUGUCUAUUUUGACACCGGAACCAGCCGUCGCUCACCCGUCAUUUCUGAACUCCCGAAAUGACACGGGUGACAAGCCAACAAGGCUCAGCGACACUACAAUCAACCACGAGGCACUGUCGGAUGAAUUUCGAAUCGAAAACGCGUUCUAUCGGCGGAUUUCGCCGAAAAAUGCUCCGAAAAUCACUUUUUGAUUUUCGCAAAAGCUUGGGGCCUUGGACGAUCAGUCCAGAGGUUAUCCUCAGCCUACCCUUGCUGCCAACAGCAUCUACAUCGAAGCAAAAACCCUAAAAGCCCUUACCGAUACGUGAAAUCACAUCAUUUUAUGUGAUUUCUAGGCUUUUCUAGACCGUGCACGCAAACCAGAGAUAGAUUCGGCAAACCGUCGCGCUCGCUGAUAGGUUUCAGCGUGCCGAAGGCCGUGCUCACCUUUCGGAGAACUGUCGGCCACUGUGGCACGCGCACGAGCGACACGAAACUCAGUGAAACAGCGCGCACAGCGCUAAGAUUGCCAUUAAUGCACAAUCCAGGGCAUCUCUGUCCCUGUCAGAGGUGAGCAAGAUGUUCAGCACGUGUUGUAGAUCAUCGUGCUCACUUCCCGAGGUCUAGAAGGCUUAACGGAUCACCGGAAAGGUGACCGGAAUCUCAGAAUUCAGUGCUGGAACAUAAAACAGCCUUACCGGAACCGGGGAGAGCUAGGGUUGGUCGCCGGCGGCCGGACGACGGGCGGUCCAGCUAGGGGAGGGCGUGGCCGGUAGGUGAGGUCUGGGGCAACCGCUGGCCGGUGGCUGGAGGCGGCCAGUGGCGCGGCGGCGUAGAUCAACUCCCUAAGGCUGCUCACCGGUUCAAGGGCGCUGGCAGCAAGGCGGCGGCCGGAGAAGCUUGGGGCGGCGACGAUUCGACGCCGGAGGCCGAGGGAGAGGCGGUGCACCCUUCGUUGGACGGCGACGGCGCUUGGAAGUCGAGCGGACUCGACCUCGGCCCGCACCAACCCAGGGCGGCCGCAAGGUGCACAAGCGGCGGCCGGCGGUCCACGGGGAUGGCUGGGAUGGCGAGCGGGAGGUCGCCGGAUGUAAGGUACCAGACUUCUAAAACUAUGAAGUUACGAUAUACAUUUAAAUGGUUCCGGUGAGGUUGCGGUGGAAUGUAACAUACUGAAUUUUAAAUGUAAAAGUGAAAAUAAAUAAAAAUAGUAUGAGAUACUAUUUUUAUUGGAUUUAGAAAAGUGAAAUGUAGGUUGGGAAUGACCUGUGCUGAAAUCGGAGCGAAAACAGAGGAUUUAGAAUUUUCUGUGUGAAACGAGGCAGAUAAAUUAGCAGAAAAUGCAGUGUCAGAAAAUUCUGAAAACUGGAGGAUAAGCCAGAAUUAUUUUUAUGAGGCUAGAUUUAAUGUUUCAUAUCAUUCUGACAUCCGGAAGGUGGAAAAUAAAAUCCGAUAGUGAUCUGAUAAAGAUUACAGUUCGGUACAGCUUUCAGUGACCAAAUGGGGUCGAAACUGAAAGAUUAAAAUUUCUUUCGUUAAGUUAAGCAAAACCGAACAUGACUGUCAAAUUUGAGCUCAAACGGAUAUUCAGGGAGCUCCGGCGAAAGAUAUCAGAUUUUGAGCUGCCUGAUGUGAAUAGUGUAUGCUACUAUUGAGGUGUUGACUAUAAGUAGAAGCUACUAGGCUUCUUCUUCCUC